GGAGGCUCUUGGGACGCUCUUCCCUCCUCAGUAGCAGUUGAGGCAUCUCACGAGUAAACAGCUAUAUAAGCAAAGCCCCAUGUUGGUUAAGCACUGAAUAAAUGUGACAUUGUCCCUGAAACCUUAUUCCCAAUCGACUGCUGCCUGGCUUUGGUGGAAGGGCUGCCCUCCAGUUAACAGCCAUGCAUGAGCAAGGCCCAGGGAGACGGAGAGCCCACAGGAGCCGUCUUUCAGUGUCCAGUUAACUGCAGAUGCUCAGGCUCAUGUCAGAGAUGCCUCGUUUCUCCAUCUCCCAAAAUAAAAUAAUUUCCUGCAGAAGCUGGUAAUAGGACACACCCUUUCUUGAUGCCAAGGGGUCCAAUUGCACAGCUUUAGCCACCAUUGCAGACGAACAGACUCAACCCCAAGAAAGGGUCCUGCUUAGAAAAGAAUCAGGAGCUCAGUACAGUCCUGAGGAGGGGGGUGGAGCAUAUUUACAGUGAAGGCCCAUAGAGUUAAAAAAAUAACAUACUUUGAAUACUUCUGUCUUCAGAGGCAAAGUGGGUGGGUAGGGAGAAGCUUUAAAAAUAGAAGUACAAAAUAACAUCCUGGAAAAAUAUGACCCCAGAUUGGAAUAAUGUUACAUUAGCAAAUACAGAUAACUGGGCCUUGCUAGGGGCUGUGAGAUGCUUAUCUGUUCAAGAUUUGCUCAGUCAAGGAAAUUCAUGUGGUGAUAUCAUCCCACUAUUGAUGGCAAAAGAAAUCUGCCUCCACCAAAAUCUCUGAAGGCAAAAGAACCACAGAGAAAGGAGGUUUGCUUCUCUUUGGGGUUGCAAUUUAGAAAACAAAAGUGAUAGAGAUAUUUGCACUUUGUAGAAAGGGCAAAAUUAUUUGCUUAUUUCUGAAGGGAGGAGGGUGGUCUUUGCUGGAUGUUUGGUUUUGUGAAAGAGUUACUUUUGAUAAAAUUAAUCUAAUUGUAGUUAUUUUUUCUGUGUGCUUUUUUUUUUAAUUACUAAGAAAAAAUGGUGAGUUCAAUAGCUUUGGUAUUUUGAGUGCAAAUCAUAAUAGCUCCAAUGUGAAAAAAAUCAAAAUGUAACCUGUCACUCAAUGUUAGAAAAUUGCUUAAAAUACAGUUUAAUAAAUGAUCUUUGUAUCAAACGUAAUUUAAAUGGGGUAAUUUUCUGCAAGGAAAAUGUACUGUUUCUACCUUUCCAACCCUCUUGAAUUAAAAUAAAAACAACUUGUUUUCU
rnacentral:lncRNA from 1 species